rnacentral:rRNA from 1 species
GACGAACGCUGGCGGCGUGCUUAAUGCAUGCAAGUCGAACGAGAACUACUUCGCUCGUAAGAGUGAGGUAGGGACAGUGGCGAACGGGUGCGUAACACGUGAGAAACCUGCCUUGGAGAUCGGGAUAGCCCGGGGAAACCCGGAUUAAUACCGAAUACCUUCACGACACCGCAUGGUGAUGUGAAGAAAUGGUCCGCCGCUCCAAGAUGGUCUCGCGGCCUAUCAGCUUGUUGGUGAGGUAACGGCUCACCAAGGCGAAGACGGGUAGCUGGUCUGAGAGGACGAUCAGCCACACUGGGACUGAGACACGGCCCAGACUCCUACGGGAGGCAGCAGCAGGGAAUAUUGCACAAUGGGCGAAAGCCUGAUGCAGCGACGCCGCGUGCGGGAUGAAGGCCUUCGGGUUGUAAACCGCUUUCAGCAGGGAAGAAAUUGACGGUACCUGCAGAAGAAGCCCCGGCCAACUACGUG